rnacentral:rRNA from 1 species
GAAGGUGGCCUGUGAGGGUUGCUGGAGGUAUCAGAAGUGCGAAUGCUGACAUAAGUAACGAUAAAGCGGGUGAAAAGCCCGCUCGCCGGAAGACCAAGGGUUCCUGUCCAACGUUAAUCGGGGCAGGGUGAGUCGACCCCUAAGGCGAGGCCGAAAGGCGUAGUCGAUGGGAAACGGGUUAAUAUUCCCGUACUUGGUGUUACUGCGAAGGGGGGACGGAGAAGGCUAUGUUGGCCGGGCGACGGUUGUCCCGGUUUAAGCGUGUAGGUGUGUGUUCCAGGUAAAUCCGGUUCACUUUAACACUGAGGCGUGAUGACGAGGCACUACGGUGCUGAAGCAACAAAUGCCCUGCUUCCAGGAAAAGCCUCUAAGCAUCAGGUAACAUCAAAUCGUACCCCAAACCGACACAGGUGGUCAGGUAGAGAAUACCAAGGCGCUUGAGAGAACUCGGGUGAAGGAACUAGGCAAAAUGGUGCCGUAACUUCGGGAGAAGGCACGCUGACACGUAGGUGAAGUGAUUUACUCACGGAGCUGAAGUCAGUCGAAGAUACCAGCUGGCUGCAACUGUUUAUUAAAAACACAGCACUGUGCAAACACGAAAGUGGACGUAUACGGUGUGACGCCUGCCCGGUGCCGGAAGGUUAAUUGAUGGGGUCAGCGCAAGCGAAGCUCCUGAUCGAAGCCCCGGUAAACGGCGGCCGUAACUAUAACGGUCCUAAGGUAGCGAAAUUCCUUGUCGGGUAAGUUCCGACCUGCACGAAUGGCGUAAUGAUGGCCAGGCUGUCUCCACCCGAGACUCAGUGAAAUUGAACUCGCUGUGAAGAUGCAGUGUACCCGCGGCAAGACGGAAAGACCCCGUGAACCUUUACUAUAGCUUGACACUGAACAUUGAGCCUUGAUGUGUAGGAUAGGUGGGAGGCUUUGAAGUGUGGACGCCAGUCUGCAUGGAGCCGACCUUGAAAUACCACCCUUUAAUGUUUGAUGUUCUAACGUGGACCCGUAAUCCGGGUUGCGGACAGUGUCUGGUGGGUAGUUUGACUGGGGCGGUCUCCUCCUAAAGAGUAACGGAGGAGCACGAAGGUUGGCUAAUCCUGGUCGGACAUCAGGAGGUUAGUGCAAUGGCAUAAGCCAGCUUGACUGCGAGCGUGACGGCGCGAGCAGGUGCGAAAGCAGGUCAUAGUGAUCCGGUGGUUCUGAAUGGAAGGGCCAUCGCUCAACGGAUAAAAGGUACUCCGGGGAUAACAGGCUGAUACCGCCCAAGAGUUCAUAUCGACGGCGGUGUUUGGCACCUCGAUGUCGGCUCAUCACAUCCUGGGGCUGAAGUAGGUCCCAAGGGUAUGGCUGUUCGCCAUUUAAAGUGGUACGCGAGCUGGGUUUAGAACGUCGUGAGACAGUUCGGUCCCUAUCUGCCGUGGGCGCUGGAGAACUGAGGGGGGCUGCUCCUAGUACGAGAGGACCGGAGUGGACGCAUCACUGGUGUUCGGGUUGUCAUGCCAAUGGCACUGCCCGGUAGCUAAAUGCGGAAGAGAUAAGUGCUGAAAGCAUCUAAGCACGAAACUUGCCCCGAGAUGAGUUCUCCCUGAGACUUUAGGUCUCCUGAAGGAACGUUGAAGACGACGACGUUGAUAGGCCGGGUGUGUAAGCGCAGCGAUGCGUUGAGCUAACCGGUACUAAUGAACCGUGAGGCUUAACCUUACAACGCCGAAG